rnacentral:lncRNA from 10 species
UUUUUGUUUUGUUUUGUUUUCUCACUUCCAAGUUUAACAUGUCCAUGGACAUUGGCUUUAGUUUCCCCAAGAUGAGUCCAUGAAUGACCUUGUUCCAGUAUCCCUUGCUGAUUUGAGUUCCCAAGUAAUAAGCCUGGGAAUGUUUUCAGUGCAGCAGCCGGGAGAAGAAGGGGGAUUCAGCAGUUGCUGUUCAAUGCAUUUACUCUCUACCUGCUGGCUUCAAACAGUAUUAACUUUAUGUGCUCCUUGUGCAUUGUGUUUAAUUAAAAGCAGUUCUCUUCACAGAGGCACUUGUAGGAUUUUUUUUUUUUUUUUUUUUUGCCCUGAAACGAAUAAAACAAAUAGGCGUCUGGUAUUUGUUUUGUAUAACACAAUCCCCAUAAAAUGAAGAGUAAUAAAACAUAAUUAUCUGUAAAGGCUUGUUUUAUAAGCCUGAGAAUGGGCUUGUUUCUACCAGGUUUUUAUGUUCAUUCAUAGGAGAAAGAAUCUCUUUGUACAUUAAUAUGUAACAACAAUAAGAACAAAUGCUUCCCAAUUACAUGCAUGAAUCAAACUUAUCUUUUAUUAAAAAAUUUUUUUUCUGUUGUAGUAAAAGUUUGUCAUUAAAUUCUUUCUGUGUAAACACAUUAGAUUGAAGGAAAAUGUUUUCCUUCAAUAUUCUGUUCAACUGGCAUAACUUUAUGAUUUUUUUCUCCCCAGCAUAAUUAAAGAAACAACUUUAUGGUUGGUUAUUGACUUUUUUAGGUCAGAGAGCACUCUGUGGAUUCUAAAACCGCCUUCCAGAAAAGUACACAUCAAACUUCUACGUACGUUUUUAUAGGGUUUGUAGAGCUCUGAUCCUUGGUUAAAGAUCCCUGACAAUGUCUAAUAGCUGUUUUGAAAACUGUACCUCCAAUCUGAAGCUAAGGUUUUAGUUUUAGUUUUAGUAUGUGAAUAUCUGAUGAAACGAUUCAAUGGUUUUGUAGCAUUGGAUUCAAUUUCAGGGUUGGGCUCCUUUCUAGGAAUAGAGGAAUAUUCUUAUCUCAGGAAAAAAAAUUCAGAGUGUGGGAAGUACGAAAAUUAUUAAUUCAAAGGUGUAUUUGCUGUCAGAUUGGAUGGCAGUACCCACAUCCCUAGGGGCUCCUGUUCCCAAGACUGUUUUCAUUGUUUCUAUCCAGCGCUGGGCACGAGCCUUGAAGUGGCGAAUUCAUCCUCUGAAGUUGUGUGUCCAUUGCUGCAAGAAUAAAAGAAGCAGUAACAGAAUCAUGCAGCGCAGUAUUUCAUGGUGACAGUUUUAUGUGGUUGUGUGAUGUUGCAGAGUCUUGUAGGUGAUAUCUACCCUUUUCUUUUGAAUCAAAACACGGGGUUUUACUGGAGGAGGGAAGUUUCAGAAACAACCUAGUCUAACACAAAAUUAAGCUCCUAAAUAGUUAUCCCAUUCUGUCUACUACAAAACUAAUUGCUUACAGGAAGUAGAAGUACACAUAUCUAAUAUUUAUAUCCUGUUUGAGUAGUGGUUUCUAAUUUUAGAUUUCUAACCCCUUUUUACAUUAUCUUUUUGCAUUGAAAUUAUACUGAAACAUUCAUAUUAUUAUGAAUGCAAGCUGAAUUAAAUAGACCAAGAUUCUCGGUUUCUCCCUUCAUGUUGUCAUCUACUAGAGAAUGAACAGCUUAAAAUAAGUGCAUCAGUUCCUCAUCCAAAGGGAAGCUGAAUAUUCCAAUUCAAGAUCACUUUGCGUGCUUACUGGAAAUACCAUUUUUGAACGUACUUGGCAACUUAAAGUGCCCAAUUAAAAGCUCUGUUGAAAGAGGAAGUCUGUGGAUGUGCAAUUAGUCCUUAGGAUUCAGAGCAUUUCCUUUAUGUGUGGAAGGCCAUAAUAUGAAAUCACUGGUCACAAUAGCUUUAUGCCAGGUGCUUAGACUAGAAGGCAUUUUCAGGAUGGAUUAUUUCUGUACUCUUGCUCCUAAAAUGGUUUACCUAAAGAGGCUCCCAAGUCCAUAAAAAUACUGGUGAUGUCAAGAAAUUUUGGAGGUGGCCUUUCACAAAUUUUAGGCAGUCAAUAAAUAUAACUAGCCAUGUACGUGAUAGGCAAUACACAAGACUUGCUUAUAUUCCUAGACUUUCUAUUUUAUCUGAUUGACAGUGUUCCUCUUCCCACCUUUUUAUUCAUUUAUUUAUUUUUAAAAGAUGAGGAUUGGGUACCAGAAAAUUAGCCAGUAUUGUGUGCUUUUCCUUACUAAAAAAAUGAGGCCUCGCUGAGUAGGGCCAGAUGAGCUGUAUAUUCUGAGAUUAUUUAUAGUGUUUAUGAUAGAGAGACCAAAAACAGUAAGCACUUAAUAGCUUUCCUUAUUUACAAGUCAGAUUCAUCUAAGGGAUAUUUUUCUUUUAUUUUUCUGGUGCUUGAAAUGUUCCUUUAAAAUAGAUUAUCAGAGGAUACACAGUGACACAAAAUUUGUUGCUUGUGAAAAUGCAGAGUGGAUUAAGCUUUUCUUUUUCAAGGCUCUGCAACAAAACAGGUACAUUUUUAUUUCAGUAAAAACACUGCUUUUUUUUUUUGCCUCCGUCACACACACGAGUAACAUAGGAUAGAUAUGUGUAUGUGAACAUGUGGCUCUUGUUCCCAGUUGUGUAAUGGAUGCAUUCCCUUAAAGUUUGCAGUAAAGUGAAUGUUUAUUAAGCAAAUUGUUUUUCCCCAGUGACUUCUACUGUAAAAAUGGCAUUGUCUUUCAGUAGGCUCUGAAUAUAGUAUGUUCCCAUAUUCUUUGGUAAGAUGACCAAUCAACCA